rnacentral:ncRNA from 1 species
UGUAAAGCGUUUGAGAAAAAAGUAGUAGGUUGAUAACCUAUCUGAGAGACUUCGUGGUUGGUGAAAACGAAGUAGGAAAUCUUCACGAAUUCAUUUUUCGAGCUGAAAUUGGGCGUUAUUUAACAAAAAAUUUCCGGUUAAUCACCGUUAGCGAUGUCUUAAGUGUGUUGUCUUUUGACAGCAAAUUAGGGUGGUACCGCGUUGCUUCGUCCCUUAU